rnacentral:rRNA from 1 species
GCCAGACUCCUACGGGAGGCAGCAGUGAGGAAUAUUGGUCAAUGGACGAGAGUCUGAACCAGCCAAGUCGCGUGAGGGAUGACGGCCCUACGGGUUGUAAACCUCUUUUGCCGGGGAGCAACGGGCGCCACGUGUGGCGCCACUGAGAGUACCCGGAGAAAAAGCAUCGGCUAACUCCGUGCCAGCAGCCGCGGUAAUACGGAGGAUGCGAGCGUUAUCCGGAUUUAUUGGGUUUAAAGGGUGCGUAGGCGGCGUGUUAAUAAAGUGGUCAAAUGGGGGGACCAACCCCCUCCCCGCCAUUGAAACUGGCGCUCUUGAGUGGAAGAGAAGUAUGCGGAAUGCGUGGUGUAGCGGUGAAAUGCAUAGAUAUCACGCAGAACCCCGAUUGCGAAGGCAGCAUACCGGCGCCCUACUGACGCUGAGGCGCGAAAGUGCGGGUAUCGAACAGGAUUAGAUACCCCAGUA